rnacentral:lncRNA from 1 species
AGGUUUUCAAGGUUAACAUUUUUCUCUCAGCGUGAAGCCCUUGAAAUCCAUUCAACUUGGUGCACUUAUCUGUGGUUUGUUCCUCCUUACUGUUGAGGAGUAUUGAUCAGAUGGAUCUACUACUGUGGCCUGCAUGGUCAGACUCUAAACACAGCAGGUUAUCCAAAGUUUUCUCUGUCAUUAUCAUCUCUCAUGUUUAUAUCUGUCACAAGUAACACUGUUAAUUUUCCCUAGAAUUCUUCAUGUGCUUAUAAUCAAAUUCUCUAUGACUCAUGCUCCUUAUCAUUAUGCUGGAGAGGAAUAGCUCAGCACUGAAGCUGACCCUCCAGCACUGCCCCAGUGAGAAAGCUUCUUUUGAGUAGUAAAGACAAAAUGCUAACAGAAGCUUGGCAAGAGAUUGGAACUGUACAUGCUCACAGGAAGUAACUUUGGUGUUUCUUCAGGGACUGCAGAUCCCUUCACAAUGCUCUUGCUACUGAUCAAGGAAAAGAAAUGUGAUCUCGUAGUCUUCUCGGAGCU